GAUCCUGGCUCAGGACGAACGCUGGCGGCGCGCCUAACACAUGCAAGUCGAACGGGGUUUUACCGACAGAAGUUUUCGGAUGGACGUUGGUACGACCUAGUGGCGGACGGGUGAGUAACACGUGAGCAACCUGCCUUUCAGAGGGGGAUAACGAUUGGAAACGAUCGCUAAUACCGCAUAACAUCAUCGGACCGCAUGAUCUGAUGGUCAAAGGAGCAAUCCGCUGAAAGAUGGGCUCGCGGCCGA
rnacentral:rRNA from 1 species